GCGAACGGACGAGAAGCUUGCUUCUCUGAUGUUAGCGGCGGACGGGUGAGUAACACGUGGAUAACCUACCUAUAAGACUGGGAUAACUUCGGGAAACCGGAGCUAAUACCGGAUAAUAUUUUGAACCGCAUGGUUCAAAAGUGAAAGACGGUCUUGCUGUCACUUAUAGAUGGAUCCGCGCUGCAUUAGCUAGUUGGUAAGGUAACGGCUUACCAAGGCAACGAUGCAUAGCCGACCUGAGAGGGUGAUCGGCCACACUGGAACUGAGACACGGUCCAGACUCCUACGGGAGGCAGCAGUAGGGAAUCUUCCGCAAUGGGCGAAAGCCUGACGGAGCAACGCCGCGUGAGUGAUGAAGGUCUUCGGAUCGUAAAACUCUGUUAUUAGGGAAGAACAUAUGUGUAAGUAACUGUGCACAUCUUGACGGUACCUAAUCAGAAAGCCACGGCUAACUACGUGCCAGCAGCCGCGGUAAUACGUAGGUGGCAAGCGUUAUCCGGAAUUAUUGGGCGUAAAGCGCGCGUAGGCGGUUUUUUAAGUCUGAUGUGAAAGCCCACGGCUCAACCGUGGAGGGUCAUUGGAAACUGGAAAACUUGAGUGCAGAAGAGGAAAGUGGAAUUCCAUGUGUAGCGGUGAAAUGCGCAGAGAUAUGGAGGAACACCAG
rnacentral:rRNA from 1 species